GAUGAACGCUGGCGGCGUGCCUAAUACAUGCAAGUCGUGCGAACAGACGAGGAGCUUGCUCCUCUGACGGUAGCGGCGGACGGGUGAGUAACACGUGGUUAACCUACCUAUAAGACUGGGAUAACUUCGGGAAACCGGAGCUAAUACCGGAUAAUAUAUUGAACCGCAUGGUUCAAUAGUGAAAGACGGUUUUGCUGUCACUUAUAGAUGGAUCCGCGCCGCAUUAGCUAGUUGGUAAGGUAACGGCUUACCAAGGCAACGAUGCGUAGCCGACCUGAGAGGGUGAUCGGCCACACUGGAACUGAGACACGGUCCAGACUCCUACGGGAGGCAGCAGUAGCGAAUCUUCCGCACUGGGCGAAAGCCUGACGGAGCAACGCCGCGUGAGUGAUGAAGGUCUUCGGAUCGUAAAACUCUGUUAUUAGGGAAGAACAAAUGUGUAAGUAACUAUGCACGUCUUGACGGUACCUAAUCAGAAAGCCACGGCUAACUACGUG
rnacentral:rRNA from 1 species